AUUGAACGCUGGCGGCAGGCCUAACACAUGCAAGUCGAACGAGUGGCGGACGGGUGAGUAAUGUCUGGGAAACUGCCUGAUGGAGGGGGAUAACUACUGGAAACGGUAGCAAAUACCGCAUACCAUCGGAUGUGCCCAGAUGGGAUUAGCUAGUAGGGGGGGUAAAGGCUCACCUAGGCGACGAUCCCUAGCGGGUCUGAGAGGGUGACCAGCCAAACCGGAACUGAGAAACGGUCCAGACCCCUACGGUAGGCAGGAGGGGGGAAUAUUGGACAAUGGGCGCCAGUCUGAUGCAGCCAUGCCGCGGGGGUGAAGAAGGCCUUCGGGUUGUAAAGCACUUUCAGCGAGGAGGCGUUACUCGCAGAAGAAGCACCGGCUAACUCCGUGCCAGCAGCCGCGGUAAUUC
rnacentral:rRNA from 1 species